AGGGCGCACGGUGGAUGCCUUGGCACUAGGAGCCGAUGAAGGACGGGACUAACACCGAUAUGCUUUGGGGAGCUGUAAGUAAGCUAUGAUCCAGAGAUUUCCGAAUGGGGGAACCCAAUAUCUUUUAUAGGAUAUUACUUUUCAGUGAAUACAUAGCUGAUUAGAGGUAGACGCAGAGAACUGAAACAUCUUAGUACCUGCAGGAAGAGAAAGAAAAUUCGAUUCCCUGAGUAGCGGCGAGCGAAACGGGAAGAGCCCAAACCAACAAGCUUGCUUGUUGGGGUUGUAGGACUCCAAUAUGGUAGUCUGUUAGUAUAGUUGAAGGAUUUGGAAAAUUCCGCUAAAGAGGGUGAAAGCCCCGUAGACGAAAUGCUGACAACACCUAGGAGGAUCCUGAGUACGGCGGAACACGAGAAAUUCCGUCGGAAUCCGCGGGGACCAUCCCGCAAGGCUAAAUACUCCCUAGUGACCGAUAGUGAACCAGUACCGUGAGGGAAAGGUGAAAAGCACCCCGGAAGGGGAGUGAAAUAGAUCCUGAAACCGUGUGCCUACAACAAGUCAAAGCUCGUUAAUGAGUGAUGGCGUGCCUUUUGUAGAAUGAACCGGCGAGUUACGAUUGCAUGCGAGGUUAAGUCGAAGAGACGGAGCCGCAGCGAAAGCGAGUCUGAAUAGGGCGAAUGAGUAUGUAGUCGUAGACCCGAAACCAUGUGAUCUACCCAUGUCCAGGUUGAAGGUGCGGUAAAACGCACUGGAGGACCGAACCCACGUACGUUGAAAAGUGCGGGGAUGAGGUGUGGGUAGCGGAGAAAUUCCAAACGAACUUGGAGAUAGCUGGUUCUCUCCGAAAUAGCUUUAGGGCUAGCCUCGGAAUUGAGAAUGAUGGAGGUAGAGCACUGUUUGGACUAGGGGCCCAUCUCGGGUUACCGAAUUCAGAUAAACUCCGAAUGCCAUUCAUUUAUAUCCGGGAGUCAGACUGCGAGUGAUAAGAUCCGUAGUCGAAAGGGAAACAGCCCAGACCACCAGCUAAGGUCCCAAAAUAUAUGUUAAGUGGAAAAGGAUGUGGGGUUGCACAGACAACUAGGAUGUUGGCUUAGAAGCAGCCACCAUUUAAAGAGUGCGUAAUAGCUCACUAGUCGAGUGACCCUGCGCCGAAAAUGUACCGGGGCUAAACAUAUUACCGAAGCUGUGGACUACACCAUUAGGUGUAGUGGUAGGAGAGCGUUCUAAGGGCGUUGAAGGUCGAUCGUGAGGACGGCUGGAGCGCUUAGAAGUGAGAAUGCCGGUAUGAGUAGCGAAAGACAGGUGAGAAUCCUGUCCACCGUAUGACUAAGGUUUCCUGGGGAAGGCUCGUCCGCCCAGGGUUAGUCGGGACCUAAGCCGAGGCCGAUAGGCGUAGGCGAUGGACAACAGGUUGAUAUUCCUGUACCAGUUGUUUUUGUUUGAGCAAUGGAGGGACGCAGUAGGCUAAGGAAUGCAUGCGAUUGGAAGUGCAUGUCCAAGCAAUGAGUCUUGAGUAGAGUUAAAUGCUUUACUCUUUAAGGACAAGUUGUGACGGGGAGCGAAAUAAUAGUAGCGAAGUUCCUGAUGUCACACUGCCAAGAAAAGCUUCUAGUGAGAAAACAACUGCCCGUACCGUAAACCGACACAGGUAGUCGAGGAGAGUAUCCUAAGGUGAGCGAGCGAACUCUCGUUAAGGAACUCGGCAAAAUGACCCCGUAACUUCGGGAGAAGGGGUGCUGACUUCGGUCAGCCGCAGUGAAUAGGCCCAAGCGACUGUUUAUCAAAAACACAGGUCUCUGCAAAAUCGUAAGAUGAAGUAUAGGGGCUGACGCCUGCCCGGUGCUGGAAGGUUAAGAGGAUGGGUUAGCUUCGGCGAAGCUCAGAAUUGAAGCCCCAGUAAACGGCGGCCGUAACUAUAACGGUCCUAAGGUAGCGAAAUUCCUUGUCGGGUAAGUUCCGACCCGCACGAAAGGCGUAACGAUUUGGGCACUGUCUCAACGAGAGACUCGGUGAAAUCAUAGUACCUGUGAAGAUGCAGGUUACCCGCGACAGGACGGAAAGACCCCAUGGAGCUUUACUGUAGUUUGAUAUUGAGUGUUUGUACCACAUGUACAGGAUAGGUAGGAGCCGAUGAGACCGGAACGCUAGUUUCGGAGGAGGCGCUGGUGGGAUACUACCCUUGUGUUAUGAACCCUCUAACCCGCACCACUAAUCGUGGUGGGAGACAGUGUCAGAUGGGCAGUUUGACUGGGGCGGUCGCCUCCUAAAAGGUAACGGAGGCGCCCAAAGGUUCCCUCAGAAUGGUUGGAAAUCAUUCGAAGAGUGUAAAGGCAGAAGGGAGCUUGACUGCGAGACCUACAAGUCGAGCAGGGACGAAAGUCGGGCUUAGUGAUCCGGUGGUUCCGCAUGGAAGGGCCAUCGCUCAACGGAUAAAAGCUACCCUGGGGAUAACAGGCUUAUCUCCCCCAAGAGUCCACAUCGACGGGGAGGUUUGGCACCUCGAUGUCGGCUCGUCGCAUCCUGGGGCUGUAGUCGGUCCCAAGGGUUGGGCUGUUCGCCCAUUAAAGCG
rnacentral:rRNA from 1 species